rnacentral:lncRNA from 1 species
AUGAAAUUAAAUUAAACAUAAAAAAAAUUAUAAUGCACGAGAUUUAAACGUUGAUCAAACUUAAAUAACAUAAACAAAUAUGCAUGAAUGAGAGACUAGUAUACUAACCUAUAUCGAGCUUAUAACUUUUAUUAAACUUAAAGCCAAAAACAAAUGUAAGGUGGGAUCUUAGGAUAAAGGCUUAGCCUUUAGACUUUCUUUUCUCCCGUAAAUGAUCACCUAGGAACUUGUAAUAAUAAUAGGCGUGAAGCAAGCAUAUGGGAGGUAGGACAAGAAAAAGAUAUGGAAGCUUUAAACUUUUCUAGGGAUUCACGGUGGAGGCUUUACAAUAAUGGUAACCUAGCUUGAAAUUUGAUAAAUAACCACCGUACAAAAGAGAUAAGCAUAAAAAGUCCCAAAUUUGUCUAAUAAACAAUCAACUAGAUUACAAUAAAAAAUAGACGUGAAAUAGGCAUGGAAGCUUUCAUUUAUUCACGGUGGGACCUUAGCUGAACUUUAGACUUUCUAUCUUUUAUAAACAACCACCAUGCAAAAGAAGAAAUAGGCAUAAAAACCUUAAGCCUCCUUCCAAAACUGAACAACUAGCUUAUUUCUAAGUAAAAUACACACAGACAUUCACGCAAACAAUGGAGUCUCAUGCUCCUGAUGUUGAAAAAAAAAAAAAAAUAGAAAAAAGAAGAAGACAUCCCAAAAAACUUUCUAGACCUCAUUAUCGCUUUGCAGGAUUCCUAAAAUCUUAAAGUCUUUGGACUCAUGGUUUGUUUAAAAAGACCUUUCCCUUCAACCUUAAACCUAGAAGAAAGUAAACUUAAAAGGUGAGAUUCUAAGGCAAUGAAAGGGACGAAAGUUGGGUUUGGAAACCCGUUUUUUUGUUUUUGCCGUAUCUUGAGUUCUCCAUGCUUUCAUUAAGCCUUCAUUUGUUAAAAGAAGUAAUCGAAAUUGGAAAACAUGAAUUACAUCCAAGAAGUUUUAAAUAAAAUCCUUCAUAAACGUCAACAUAGCCGAACCACCAUGAAGAACUAUUUUUCUCUUUUUUUUUUUUUGUUUUAUUGUUCUUUCCCUUUUUAACUUAAAACCUCUAAAACCAUCUCUUGUUUCAUCUUUUGAAAAGCCUUUGGAUUCUAAAUAGGAAGAAGAUCACCCUUUCACCAUUCUGGAGUUUCAAGGUGCAUGGACAGCCCACAAAAAAAUAAAAAUAAAAAUGACAUGAAACUCAAAACCAGUAGUCAACCCAAUGUAGAAUUAUCAAGAUUUUCCACAAGCAAAUAAUAUGUAGGAAAAAAAAACUAAAAUCAAUAAACAAGCUAAAGCUGUAAGUUGUUGAUCAAGCAAAGAACGAAAAUGGGAAGACUCUAAUCGUUCCUUUCCUCUAUGCCUUAUUAUUUCUAGAUUUUCUUUGCGAACGGGUUACUUCUCUUUUCUUCUUCUUUUUGUUUGUCUUGAUUUGCAUGGAAGCAAAGCCUAAAGCCUUUCCUUCAGUUAUUUAUAAAUGAUUUUUGCUGUUUUAAAAAUUAUCUUUUAAUGUCCAAGCAAGCAAACACCACCAUCACAACCAGAAAAGGAAAGAACUCAUCCGAACAUAAACAUAAGGAAAAUAAAACUGUAAAUUUGCCUAAAACAAACCUUCUUCAUGAAGAAUUGUUUUUCUUUUUUUUUUUUUUUUUGUUCCUUUCCUUUUUACCUUAAAACCUCUAAAACCAUCUCUUGCUUCAUAUUUUGAAAAGCCUUUGGAUUCUAAAAGGGAAGAAGAUCACCCUUUCACCAUUCUGGAGUUUCAAGGUGCAUGGACAGCCUACAAAAUAAAAAUGACAUGAAACUGAAAACCAGUAGCCGAACCCAAGGUAGAAUGAUCUAGAUUUUCCACAAGCAAAUAAUAUGUAGGAAAAAAAAACUAAAAUCAAUGAACAAGCUAAAGCUGUGAGUUGUUGAUCAAGUAAAGAACAAAAAUGGGAAGACUCUAAUCCUUCUUUUCCUCUAUGCCCCGCUAUUUCUAGAUUUUCUUUGUGAACGGGUUACUUCUCUUUUCUUCUUCCUUUUGUUUGUCUUGAUUUGUAUGGAAGCAAAACCUAAAGCCUUUCCUUCAGUUAUUUAUAAAUGAUUUUUGCUGUUUUAAAAAUUAUCUUUUAAUGUCCAAGCAAGCAAACACCACCAUCACAACCGAAAAAGGAAAGAACUUACGCAAACAUAAACAUAAGGAAAAUAAAACUGUGGGUUCGCUAAAAACCAACCUUCUUCAAACCUUUGUAGGGUUUUGGCUUGCUUCUUUGCCAAAGAAAACUUUCAGCUUCCUUCCCCUUUUUCCUUAUUUUGUUUCUUUGUUCCUUUUUUUUUUUUUUAAAUCUCUUUUCUUCUCCUUCUUGGCUUUUUUGUUUUCUCCUUCUUCUUUUACAACUUCUUCCCUUUUCUCCACAAAAACCUCUACUAGAAGCCUUCCCCAAAAACCUCUAUUUCUCUUUAGAAGCCUCUUCUUUUUAAACUCUCCACCAACGCCCUCACCAAACCUUAUUUCUUUGUCAUUUUUUUUCUUCUCCACUACUUUACCACUGACCUGGCCGGCCACUAACCUUAUCUUUUUUUUUGUAUGCUGCAGGUACUGUCCUUCCCUUCUCUUUACGGUAAAUCAACUUAUUUUUAGUUGAUUAUCCCCUGGUUCAUACAAGUUUCAGGCCUCACAUGAAUGAAGAUAGGCUCUUCCUUAAUACCCAGCCAUCCUAUAUUUCCAAGCACCCUUUCACGUGGGUUUUCAAUUUCUAUUCGAGUUUUUCUCUCAUUUUUUUUAUUGGGUCAAAUAAUGGACCACACCAUGGACUCUAUUUGGGCUUCAUUUUAGA